GCCAUUCCCAGCUAUUCUUUAUUUGGUUUCAGCCCAUGCGAGAGCCAGGAAGUUAAAAAGCAAGGGAAGGGUGUGCUAGCCAAGACGAGUCUCCACUGUUAGCCAAAACGCUAAUCUCUUCUAAGCCCUUACCCUGCUAACUCUUUGAAAGAAAGUAAACCUCUUUCAGACUUUUAUAUAGGAGAAAGAUGAAUUGUCUCAUCCCAAUGGAUAAGGCCUAUUCCCUGCUCGUAAAUUAACGGUUUAAGUUCCUUUAUUUCUUCUGCUUCUGACUGUCACAAGCACAAGCCAUUCUUCCACUCUAUGAUUAGGAUAUGAUUCACUUUCAAACUGAACAGGGCAUUCUAUCUGAUCUUCCGAAAGAUCUCCUUCUUGCUAACAUUCGGAAAAGGAAGAGCAUAUUCUAACCCGCGUAGAAUGAAGACUUGUCUUACCGCAUACCAGUUGCAUGUGGGAAGACCAGAAGCGGGGUGAAGAAUAAAUAAUGGGCGGACGAUCACAUCGUCCGAUAGCUAAAUGGAUGGUACUUGGCUAACCCGAAUCUCUUCACUCCUCAUCUCACUCACUUGAAGACCGACCGAAUGUGGACAUUAGCAGCGCGUAGUCCUUCACCACAGAACUCCCUCAGCUUACUUGCUUCCUUAAGCCAAAAGCACCAAGAGUAGCUACUCCGACAAGAGCAGAAAAGGCACCAACAUCGGUGACUAGUAGGGAUUCCACCAGUUCCAGUUCAGGCAUCAUCCUAAUCAUCAGAUAGGGAAGCCGGGAUCCUCUACUUAAUUCCCGGAAGUGAAAGAACUCUCCUUUAUUUCCAUUUUUUAGGAAGUUGCUUGCUCACUCACCUCACUUUAUUUUUAGUUCGAAAAGAGCUAAUUCGAAUCUCGAUCUCUGGAAUCGAAACCAAGACCAACGAGCCCCGUACUCCUAAGUUGGCAAGCGAAAGACUUACGACUUUGAAUUGAGGUAGAAUCCUAAGGAAGCUCUUUCAAGUCCUCUGGGCACAAAGGAACUACACACUAAAUCAGUGUAUCUCUUUAGUGAUCAGUCUUUUCUGCUCUUAAUAGAGAGCGCAGUUCCAGCAUCAUCCUAAUCAGACUAUUGCUCGUACCUAAUCACUGCUUAAACCCUCGGUGAAACUGGCUUAAGCCCGACUACAGAGCC